rfam:TPA: Bos taurus chromosome 3, whole genome shotgun sequence.
CUGUCUCUUGCUUCAACAGUGCUUGAAAGGAACAG